CAACGCUGGCGGCGUGCCUAAUACAUGCAAGUCGAGCGGAAUGAUGAAGAAGCUUGCUUCUUCUGAUUUUAGCGGCGGACGGGUGAGUAACACGUGGGCAACCUACCUUGUAGAUUGGGAUAACUCCGGGAAACCGGGGCUAAUACCGAAUAAUCCAUUUUGCUUCAUGGCGAGAUGUUGAAAGACGGUUUCGGCUGUCACUACAAGAUGGGCCCGCGGCGCAUUAGCUAGUUGGUAGGGUAAUGGCCUACCAAGGCGACGAUGCGUAGCCGACCUGAGAGGGUGAUCGGCCACACUGGGACUGAGACACGGCCCAGACUCCUACGGGAGGCAGCAGUAGGGAAUCUUCCACAAUGGACGAAAGUCUGAUGGAGCAACGCCGCGUGAGUGAAGAAGGUUUUCGGAUCGUAAAACUCUGUUGUAAGGGAAGAACACGUACGAGAGUAACUGCUCGUACUUUGACGGUACCUUAUUAGAAAGCCACGGCUAACUACGUG
rnacentral:rRNA from 1 species